GGGUUCAGGCCAGCGCUGGGGGGCAGGUGGGGCCCAUGGCGCCCGGCCCGUUAGGGGCUAAGUCUGGGCCACUGCAAGCCACAGCCCCUUCUCCAGAUGCAGUGGAGCUCGCCAAGCUCUGGCCAGGCCUGGAGGCCCUGGGGCUGCUCUGCCCUCCGUGGGUGGCCGCUGGGCUAUGGUUAGGGGGACAGGAGUGACAGGGAAGGACCAGACCCUGUCCCCGGCUCUGAGGCAGCACUGGCCCACCCACCUUCCCUCUCCGGCACCCUUGGUACAACGAGGACAACCCCAGCCUCUGCUAGCACCAGGCGCCUGCGAGGGUUUCAGGGUCGGGGUCGGCCUCUCCCGCUUGAGCGGCAGCGCUGCCGGGAAGAGCCUCUGUCUCUCCACUUAGACGUCCACAUGGCAGCGUGGGAUACGCGUGCAGAACGCGUGACUGUGGAGGAGAAAGGAUUUGCUUCCUCCGUGGGAAAUGCUGGACUCUUUAACCUCAAUAAAAGUGGUGAGCUGAGCUCAGGACUCGCCUGGCACUGCUCCCCUGGGGACGUCCCUGCCCGUGUGUCCUGCUGCAGAGCAUCCGCCGCUGACCAGGCUGGUCCACUCCAUCCGGACUCCAGUCCGGGAGGCCAGAAGUGUGAAGUCAAGGUGUCGGCCUGGCCGUGCUCCCUCCGGAGUCUUCAGGGGAGGGUCCUUCCUGCCUCUUCCAGCUCCUGGUGGCUCCUGCAGUCCUUGGCUCACAGCUGCAUCUCCCCAGCCUUGGCCUCCGUCUUCACAUAAUCAUAUUCUCUGAGUUUUCUCCUCUCUUUUCUGUUUUUCUCCUCUGUGUAUCUCAUAAACACACUUGUCAUUGGAUUUAGGGCCCGCCUGGCUAAUCCAGGAUGAUCCCCUUUGGAGAUCCUUAACCUUAUUACAUCUUCAAAAAGCCCCUUUUCAAAAAAGGUCACAUUCACAGUUUCCAGAUAUAAUUUUCUGGACAUGUCUUUCUGGAGGCCACCAUUCUACCCACUACAGAUGGUGACUGUUAGGGGCUGAAUGGUGGCCCUCAAAUUUCAUAUGUUGAAAUCCCCACUCCCAGUACCUCAGAAUGUGGCUCUAUUUGGAGAUAAGGUUUUUAAAGGAUUAAUUAAGUUAAAAUGAGGCUAUAAAGGUGGAACCUUAGCUAAUAUGACUGGCAUCUUUGUUUAAACAGGGAGAGACACUGGGGGGUGUGUGUGCACAGAAAAAUAGCAGGUGAAGACACAGUGAGAGGGCAGCCUUCUACAAGGCAAGGAGAGAGGCCUCGGGAAACUAGCCCCGCUAGCACCCUGACCUUGGACGUCCAGCCUCCAGAACUGUGAGACAAUAAAGUCCUGUUGCCAGGCUUCUGAGGUCCUGGAGACCCACAGCUAGGCUGGGAGCAGGAUGGCUGCUGUGAAGGUGGUAGCUGCGGAAGAAGUGGUGGCAGUGGUCACAGCCCUGGGAGAGAUGAAGGGGUCUACAUGGGCCAGCACUGAGACCUGUCAUGGAGGCCAACAGGAAUCCCCAUCCCUGGAGCCGUCUGCGACUUGCAGGCUGAGUUCUUCCCCUGCGUGGCCUGAAGUGGCCCAGCUGUGAGAAGCCAUUGUGAGGAAUGAUGUUUGUUUAAUAGAGAGUGCGCCAGCAUCGAACUGUCUGCAGGCUGAACCCCUAGGGAGGAGGAGAGGAAAGAAAGCCCGAUGGCUUCAGGCUCAGGUCUUUAAAACUCGUUCUGGGAGAGAACACAUUUGCAGAGCCCCACACUGGGCUCCAGGCUCCUAGAAGCAGCGGGAGCCUGCGUGGGGGCUUUGCAGUUCUUCAUGGAUCGCCGGUUUCAUCUUCUGGGGCCCACCACGCUGACUUGUAUGCAGCUUGCCUGGUGCCGACGGCCUCCAUCCAGCACCCCCUGGACCUGCCUCCGAGUCUGGGUUUGGGGAGCAGAAACAGCAUGAUCUGGGGGACAGGGAUGGUCCCUAGGGGUUGUUAGGCUCCUCUGCCCUCCACCCCACCCACGUAGGCACCAGAUACGAAUGCAAAUGGAGUCACCUCUGGGCCAGCUGUCCUGAUCCUCCUGGGCCCCUGGGGUUUCCCUCCUGACUCUGCUCCCUGGCGGUCUGGGCUGUCUAUGUAGUCCUGCCUGGGAGUCCCAGGCAGGCUGGCGGAGGAGAUGGUGUCAGGGCUGGGCUUGGGAGGAUAGGAGGAAGUUUCCAGGAGUGGAGGGAAGGGGUGGGCAUUUCUGAUGCUAAAAGGGGGUCCCAAGGCCUGGAGUUGCCUGGGGCCUGAGGGUGGCACUGGGAAGUCAAUAGCAGGCUUUUAAAAAUAUUUCUUAUUGUGGUAAAAUACGCAUAAUCAUGAAACUUACCAUGUUAAUCAUUAGGUAUACAGUUGAGUGACACUAAGCACAUUCACCCUGUGUAGCCGUCACCGCCCUCCCCUCCAGGAUGUGCUCAUCUUUCCAGGCCAAAGCUCCCCACCCAUGGAACACUAACUUCUCCCGCCUCCCCGUGCCGUGCUGUGCUGUGCUGUGUUGU
ensembl:lncRNA novel transcript